rnacentral:misc_RNA from 1 species
GGUUUCCGUAGGUGAACCUGCGGAAGGAUCAUUAAAAAAAAGUUGAUAUCAUGGUGACCCCUUUACGGGGGUGAGCCAUGAUUUCUUCUCCCUUUUUGUGCAAUGUUUGAGGGAUUGCUCCAGAUCUCUCUUUCCUUUUUUUUACGUAUUGAUUUGACUGAACAUUUUUGUUUUAAAAUGAAAAAAAGUUUUGAAGCCAAUCAAUUGGUUCAAGACAAAUCAAAUUUUGAAACAACUUUAAGCAAUGGAUCACUUGGUUCUCGCAUCGAUGAAGAGCGUAGCAAAUUGCGAAAAGUAAUGCGAUCUGCAGCCUUUGCGAAUCAUCGAAUUCUCGAACGCAUCUUGCACCCUUUGGUUCAUCCAUUGGGUACGUCUAGUUCAGUAUCUUUUUGAAACCCUAAAGAUUCAAUUUUGUUGUUGAAUCUUUGGAUUUGCGGUGCUGAUGGGGGGGAGGACAAAGCAAAUCUUUUGUGUGUCCCCCGUUCAAGCUACUCGAACAGUUUUUGAGUUUUUGGCCUUUUUAGAUUGGUGAACAUUCUUGAAGGGCUUACUUUGAUAUCUAAAAUUUUCGAAUUUUGGGUUAUCAUUGCUUUGAGAAAACACAAUCUAAAAGCAAAAACUCUAUAUAAACUUUUUUUUUUUU